GACGCAAAGCACCUAAUAUAAUAGCUUAAUAGCCUUCACUACCUUCUCAGCCUGCUGUCAGAAUGACUGACUCGUCACCAAGUUCUCCACAUGACUUUCAUCAAUGCUGGCCCUCGCAUAUUUGCUCUCCUGCCACUCGGCACUGACAAACAUUUGACGUAAGGCUGCUUUCUUCUGAAGAAGACUAUCAAGUGCUAUAUAGUUGGUAGCAAAUCGUAUGAUAUCCGGUCUUA
rnacentral:lncRNA from 1 species